GGAGGGCGAUUGAGGCGGGCCGGGACGGCGGCGCCGCUGCUGCCGAGCCGGGGGCUGGGUGCGGGGGGGGGACCCGCCGCCCCCCCCCCCCUCGGGCGGAGGGGUAGAGCGCGCCGCCAGAGGCGGUCGGGCGCCGCGCGCGCCGGCCGUUGCGGCCGUUAGGGCCGUUAAACCGCGCUCCUUCACCACAGAGCAGCUGCGCUCGCCUCCCUCAAGCUCAAGCCCCGGGGCUGGAGGCCGCCGCCUCGGCCAGAUUUCCCAGACUGUUGGUCUAUGUGGUAGAAGAUACCCAUUUUAUUAUGCAGGCAGAGAACUGCUCUACGUCACACCCUGAAGACUUCACUAGAUGGACCAGCCUCUACAAACUAAUAAAUUUUUUACUAUCUGAAAAAUGAACAGCGGGCUGGAGAAGACUGGAUGUUGUUAGCAACUGAAACGAUGAACAGCUGUUCUGGGAUGAGAUUGACAGUAACAGCGUAAGCAAGAUGCUGAAAAAGAUUUCUGCCUCCUUUAAAUAAUUUCAACCAUAGUUCAUUGUUUUCUUUCUCACCACAUUUCCUGCCUGAAUCCCCCCAAAGAUCAAACACUUUUCACCUAUACAGCAGGUCCAAGUUGUUCUGGAUUUUUUCUUUUUUGGUGAAGUCCCAGAUCUCUCCACUUCACAGCUGUUCUUCCCAUUGCUGUCCCCCCUCCCCAUGCCCUGGAAGAGUUUAAUACUUGCAGAAACCUGCUGGAGGUGGUGGUGGUGGUGGCGGCAGGGCAGCAGUAUUCCUUACCGCAAGAGAAAAUCAUGCCUCCUUUACAUAGCUUAACAUACUUCCACAUUUAUAUAUGGGAAACGGGUACUUUUUCAUAUAGUGAGAAUUACCUGCAUAUUUGGACAAGAUAUGUUUUGUCACCUGUGUGCCAUCAUGCUUCCCUCAAAUCAGGGUUAAAAUGUUGCUCCAGGCUCUCCUUCUGUGUCUAGAUCUUCUUUCUCCCUAAGUAUUUUUUCUCGACACAAGACAAUAAAAUUAUUUAAAAAUCAAACAGGCAAUUAAGUAGGCAUACCACUCUGGUAUCUAUUUUUGAAUACUGUGAUGGCAUCUUUGUAUCUAGCACAGUAAUUUUGGUCGUUUGGGCUGGUUUUGUUGAUGUCUUUCUGCAGCAAUAGUGGGAGCAAGAAUUGCAGGUCCUGUUUGUUGUUUUGUUUGUAUGAAACUCUUACGAUCUACGGGACUCAGUCGUGGAGCUACUGUUUCUCAUUUCUGUCACAAUUAAUUAAACUAAUAAUAGAAUAAAAAACCUCUUUCCCUUAUUUUUGGAGGUUAAAUCCUCACUUUUUCCUCAGAAGCAGGGAACAGGUUCUACA